GACGGGGGGGGCAAGUGUUCUUCGGAAUGACUGGGCGUAAAGGGCACGUAGGCGGUGAAUCGGGUUGAAAGUGAAAGUCGCCAAAAAAGUGGGCGGAAUGCUCUCGAAACCAAUUCACUUGAGUGAGACAGAGGAGAGUGGAAUUUCGUGUGUAGGGGUGAAAUCCGUAAAUAUACGAAGGAACGCCAAAAGCGAAGGCAGCUCUCU
rnacentral:rRNA from 1 species